rnacentral:lncRNA from 1 species
GUUCGGAUGACAAAAUCUGGGAGACACAGCUGAUUGACUAUGUGGAGUCACAGAGGGAAGCUGUGAUGCCAGGAAGGGAGGCUUCACAUCUCCAACAGCUUCUGUGUCACCGUAGAUGAGCCAUCCCUGGGUUCCGGAGUCAGGAGCCUGAUACUCAGUUGUGAUAAUUUUGUUACUCAUGCAUCUCCCAGCUAAUGGAUAAACUGAUGCUUCUAUACCAAUUGCUCACCUAUCAUUGGACAUUUAUGUUAUUUCUAUUUUCUUCCUUUUCCAUGCAGUACUCAGGACUGAAUCCAGGGCUUGUGCAUGCCAUGCAAGUGCUUCACCCUGGAAAACUACAUCCCACCUCCUUUUACUAUUUUUAAUUUGAGACACCAUUUUACUUCUGCUUGUUUUGUUUUUCUUUUUGAGACAUUGUCUUGUUGUGUAGUCCAGGCUGGCCUUGAACUUGAAAUCCUCCUAUUUCAACUUUCUGGGUGCUGGGAUUAAGAUGUGUGCCAUUCCAUCUUUUCUCACUCUUUCCAUUGCUGCUCCUGUGAUAAACACUGAGUGUGCCUGAAGUAUCCUUCAGCAUUCAAAGUCUCACCAAGUUUGACAUCAGAAGAAUCAAAGGAUAUACACUUUUCCCGAAACACCAUUUUUUAUUACAAAAUAAUACCUGGUCAUGGUGCUAUUUAUCUAUUUAUUUACAUUUUAGGACCAGUAAGAUCAUUCAGUGGGUAAAAUCGCUUGUCACCUGCAGGGAACCAUGGAGUUGGCCUGUCUUAGCUGCCUUGAGAGACAUUCGUCAUAAGUUUUGCAGGUACUGCCCAACCGUGAAGAUGGAGACAUGAGGAUGCAUUAGUUCUCGCUCCUGACAAGAGUGAUGAUAUGGAAACUGUCCAACAGAAGCCUGUGAAGUACUUCUUGGUGUGUGCAGAGUGGCCCUGUGUGACACAUGUCAGAAAACACAAAAGGAAUAAUCAAACUGAAGCAUGGACGUGGGAGGGUGGGUGGCCUUGGGUGGCAUUUAUGACACAGGAGGGAUCUCCUGGCAGGU